UUGCUCUCUACUCCCCUCAAUCCACCCCAGCAAACUAUGCACUGCUCUCUACUCCCUCAAUCCCACCCAGCAAACUAUGCACUGUCCGUCAACAAGCGUCAUGCAACACCGAAAAAAGAUAAAAGUGUGCAACACUCAUACAAUUCAAUCCUACAUGAAAGAGACAACGCCAAUGCCAACGAUAAACGUCCUUCCCACUUCAAAACAGAUCCACCUUCCGCUUCUGCAUGUCCUGCUUCCACUUAGGCUGCCCAUAGAACGCCUCUUUCGUCAGUCCGAAAACUGUCUGGAACUCUGCAUCGGCAAGAUAUGUCUCUCUCCGUUUGUAGUCGAUUCCUUUAACUGGAUUGCUGGAUUUGGCUUUCAACCGUUGGUAGCUGAAUGUGCCGUCACCUCCACUGUUGUCUUCUUCUGUGUCCUCUAUCGCCUCAGAAUCCACUUCAUUGCUCUCUGUUGGGUCCUCUGCGCUUUCCUUCUUGGGGGAUGGCACCCAAGAAGCAGCAGUUUCAGUUUUUAUGUCAUCUCCAGAUAAUGGAUCAAGAGAGGAGCUUCUGCUGAUUCUUGCGCCAGAUGAUUCAGAUUGUGCCUUCUUUUGCUCCGCGGUCAGAACAGAAGAUAGCGCAGCAACUGCAGCGGCUCUCUGUGAACCACCACCUGGGCGUGAUGGUUUUGUGUUUGUAGGUUUGGGUUCAGCCGAGGGAUUAAAUGCAG
rnacentral:misc_RNA from 1 species